UUUAGUUUUUACCUUAACGUUCUGAGUUCUAAGUUCUAAAUUCUAACACGCUAAUCCAAAAGCACACUUGAUAAUUGAUACUGUGACAGUAUGGAGAAGAAGAAGCAGAACGAGAUUUGCAGAAUGAAAGCGCCUUCCUCUGUUCAUUCUACUCCGCAGUAGCAAAGCCACAACAGUGUGAAUCCGUGACAAAACUCAGUGGGAGGAGAAGGUGAAGGUUUAAGAAAAGUAAUGAGUACUUGCUUGCUCGAGAUGCAUGCCAAGGUGCAAGUUUCUACAUUUGGUCAUGCAGUUUCUUGAAGCUGUUCACCAGACAAGGUUCAUUUUUUUAUAACCCCUGUAUAUUGUAUAUAUACUAACUUCCAGUUAGAUGUUCAUAUUGUCUCAAGUUACCAUGUUUUUGCAUUGUGUCUUCCUGAAACUGAAGUUGCAA